AUUGAACGCUGGCGGCGUGCCUAAUACAUGCAAGUAGAACGAAGUGGCGCACGGGUGAGUAAUACAUAGUUAAACUGCCCUACACAGAGGAACAACAGUUGGAAACGACAGCUAAUACCUCAUAGUGUAGGAUGAGACUAUAUCGUAUCAGCUAGUUGGUAAGGUAAUGGAUUACCAAGGCUAUGACGCCUAACUGGUCUGAGAGGAUGAUCAGUCACAAUGGAGCUGAGACACGGUCCAAGCUCCUGCGGGAGGCAGCAGUAAGGAAUAUUGCGAAAUGGCGGGAGCCCUGAGGCAGCAACGUCGCGUGGAGGAUGACACUUUACGGCACGUAAACUCCUUUUAGCAGGAAAGCGGUACCUGAUGAAUAAGCACCGGCUGACUCCGUGCCAGCAGCCGCGGUAAUAC
rnacentral:rRNA from 1 species